AAUCAACGCUGGCGGCGUGCCUAACACAUGCAAGUCGAACGAGAAAGCGGGGGCAACUCCGCAAGUAAAGUGGCGACCGGGUGAGUAACACGUGACUAACCUACCCUUGAGUGGGGGAUAACCCCGGGAAACCGGGGCUAAUACCGCAUAAUGUCGCGAGGUGGAAAUCCUUGUGACCAAAGAAGCAAUUCGCUCGUGGAGGGGGUCGCGGCUGAUUAGCUAGUUGGCAGGGUAAUGGCCUACCAAGGCGAUGAUCGGUAUCCGGCCUGAGAGGGCGAACGGACACACUGGAACUGAAACACGGUCCAGACUCCUACGGGAGGCAGCAGUGGGGAAUUUUGCGCAAUGGGGGAAACCCUGACGCAGCAACGCCGCGUGGAGGAUGAAGGUCCUUGGAUUGUAAACUCCUUUCGACCGGGACGAUAACGACGGUACCGGUAGAAGAAGCACCGGCUAACUCUGUGCCAGCCGCCGCCGUAAGAC
rnacentral:rRNA from 1 species